AGGCCUAACACAUGCAAGUCGAACGGCAGCACGGGAGCUUGCUCCUGGUGGCGAGUGGCGAACGGGUGAGUAAUGUAUCGGAACGUACCCCGUCGUGGGGGAUAACUCUCCGAAAGGAGAGCUAAUACCGCAUACGACCCGAGGGUGAAAGCGGGGGACCUGGGGUAACCUGGGCCUCGCGCGAUGGGAGCGGCCGAUAUCGGAUUAGCUAGUUGGUGGGGUAAGGGCCUACCAAGGCGACGAUCCGUAGCGGGUCUGAGAGGACGACCCGCCACACUGGAACUGAGACACGGUCCAGACUCCUACGGGAGGCAGCAGUGGGGAAUUUUGGACAAUGGGCGCAAGCCUGAUCCAGCCAUUCCGCGUGAGUGAAGAAGGCCUUCGGGUUGUAAAGCUCUUUCAGCAGGAACGAAACGGUGGGUCUUAAUACGGCCUGCUAAUGACGGUACCUGCAGAAGAAGCACCGGCUAACUACGUGCCAGCAGCCGCGGUAAUACGUAGGGUGCGAGCGUUAAUCGGAAUUACUGGGCGUAAAGCGUGCGCAGGCGGCGACAUAAGACAGAUGUGAAAUCCCCGGGCUCAACCUGGGAACGGCGUUUGUGACUGUGUGGCUAGAGUGUAGCAGAGGGGGGGUGGAAUUCCACGUGUAGCAGUGAAAUGCGUAGAGAUGUGGAGGAACACCGAUGGCGAAGGCAGCCCCCUGGGUUAACACUGACGCUCAUGCACGAAAGCGUGGGGAGCAAACAGGAUUAGAUACCCUGGUAGUCCACGCCCUAAACGAUGCCAACUAGGUGUUGGGGGAGGAGACUUCCUUAGUACCGUAGCUAACGCGUGAAGUUGGCCGCCUGGGGAGUACGGUCGCAAGAUUAAAACUCAAAGGAAUUGACGGGGACCCGCACAAGCGGUGGAUGAUGUGGAUUAAUUCGAUGCAACGCGAAAAACCUUACCUACCCUUGACAUGUCCGGAAUCCCGAAGAGAUUUGGGAGUGCUCGAAAGAGAGCCGGAACACAGGUGCUGCAUGGCUGUCGUCAGCUCGUGUCGUGAGAUGUUGGGUUAAGUCCCGCAACGAGCGCAACCCUUAUCAUUAGUUGCCAUCAUUGAGUUGGGCACUCUAAUGAGACUGCCGGUGACAAACCGGAGGAAGGUGGGGAUGACGUCAAGUCCUCAUGGCCCUUAUGGGUAGGGCUUCACACGUCAUACAAUGGUCGGUACAGAGGGUUGCCAACCCGCGAGGGGGAGCUAAUCUCACAAAGCCGAUCGUAGUCCGGAUCGCAGUCUGCAACUCGACUGCGUGAAGUCGGAAUCGCUAGUAAUCGUGGAUCAGCAUGUCACGGUGAAUACGUUCCCGGGCCUUGUACACUCCGCCC
rnacentral:rRNA from 1 species